UAUUUAUAUCACUGCAGGCCAGCAUCGGUUUUAUUAGCCGGAUAAAGGUAUAAGAAAGGUGGCAGUUUCGGCUGUGUUAUAGUCUUAUACUGAAUACGGAAGGUGAGACCGAGGGACGCAGCGCGCCGUAAGGCAAAGGAUUCGUCCUUUUCGCGCUUAGGAUGCUGGUGAAAUGGCUUUAAUCGACCCGUCUUGAAACACGGACCAAGGAGUCUAACAUGCUUGCGAGUGUUUGGGUGGUCAAACCCAUCCGCGUAAUGAAAGUGAAUGGAGGUGGGAUCCUUUACCGGAGCACCAUCGACCGAUCCGGAUUUUUAAUGAAGGAUUUGAGUAAGAGCACGUAUGUUGGAACCCGAAAGAUGGUGAACUAUGCCUGAAUAGGGUGAAGCCAGAGGAAACUCUGGUGGAGGCUCGUAGCGGUUCUGACGUGCAAAUCGAUCGUCAAAUUUGGGUAUAGGGGCGAAAGACUAAUCGAACCAUCUAGUA
rnacentral:rRNA from 1 species